rnacentral:rRNA from 1 species
GAUGAACGCUGGCGGCGUGCUUAAUACAUGCAAGUCGAACGAAGUCAGUAGCAAUAUUGACUGAGUGGCGAACGGGUGAGUAACGCGUUGGUGACCUGCCCCGAAGAGAGGGAUAACAGUCCGAAAGGAUUGCUAAUACCCCAUGUGGUCAUAUGGAUUAGAUGCCUAAUGACUAAACGGAUUUAUUCGCUUCGGGAGGGGCCUGCGUACCAUCAGCUAGUUGGUAGGGUAAUGGCCUACCAAGGUUAUGACGGUUAGGGGACCUGAGAGGGUGGCCCCCCACAAUGGAACUGAAACACGGUCCAUACACCUACGGGUGGCAGCAGUAGGGAAUAUUGGUUAAUCUGCGAAAGCGGGAACCAGCAACGCCGCGUGCACGAUGAAGGCCUUCGGGUUGUAAAGUGCUUUUUGACAGGAUGAGGAAGGACAGUACUUUCAGAAUAAGCUUCGGCUAACUACGUGCCAGCAGCCGCCGUAACAC